UACGGGGGGGGUAAGCGUUGUUCGGAAUUACUGGGCGUAAAGGGCUCGUAGGCGGCCAACUAAGUCAGACGUGAAAUCCCUCGGCUUAACCGGGGAACUGCGUCUGAUACUGGAUGGCUAGAGGUUGGGAGAGGGAUGCGGAAUUCCAGGUGUAGCGGUGAAAUGCGUAGAUAUCUGGAGGAACACCGAUGGCGAAGGCAGAUCUCUGGGCCUUACCUGACGCUGAGGAGCGAAAGCUGGGGGAGCGAACAGG
rnacentral:rRNA from 1 species